UACGUAGGGUGCAAGCGUUGUCCGGAAUUAUUGGGCGUAAAGAGCUCGUAGGCGGCUUGUCGCGUCGGCUGUGAAAACCUGGGGCUCAACCCCGGGCCUGCAGCCGAUACGGGCAAGCUAGAAUUCGGUAGGGGAGACUGGAAUUCCUGGUGUAGCGGUGAAAUGCGCAGAUAUCAGGAGGAACACCGGUGGCGAAGGCAGGUCUCUGGGCCACUACUGACGCUGAGAAGCGAAAGCAUGGGGAGCGAACAGG
rnacentral:rRNA from 1 species